GACUUGUAAUCAGUAGGUUGGGGGUUCAAGUCCUC
rnacentral:sRNA from 1 species